CUUGGUCAUUUAGAGGAAGUAAAAGUCGUAACAAGGUUUCCGUAGGUGAACCUGCGGAAGGAUCAUUCAUAAUAAGUGUUUUAUGGCACUUUUUAAAUCCAUAUCCACCUUGUGUGCAAUGUCAGUCGAUCCUCUUCAUGGAGAUCGACCAAACAUCAACCUUUAUUUUUUAACUCUUUGUCUGAAAAAUAUUAUGAAUAAACAAUUNAAAAUACAACUUUCAACAACGGAUCUCUUGGCUCUCGCAUCGAUGAAGAACGCAGCGAAAUGCGAUACGUAAUGUGAAUUGCAGAAUUCAGUGAAUCAUCGAAUCUUUGAACGCAUAUUGCGCUCUUUGGUAUUCCGAAGAGCAUGCUUGUUUGAGUAUCAGUAAACACCUCAAAGCUUUUGGAUUUUUUAAUCGAAAAGCUUUGGACUUGAGCAAUCCCAACACCAAUCUUUUUGAGAUCGGUGGCGGGUUGCUUGAANUGCAGGUGCAGCUGNACAUUCUCCUGAGCUAAAAGCAUAUUCAUUUAGUCCCGUCAAACGGAUUAUUACUUUUGCUGCAGCUAACAUAAAGGGAGUUUGACCGUAUUGGCUGACUGAUGCAGGAUUUCACAAGGGUCGGCAACGAUUCUUGUUAAACUCGAUCUCAAAUCAAGU
rnacentral:rRNA from 1 species